UACGGAGGGUGCGAGCGUUGUCCGGAAUCACUGGGCGUAAAGGGCGCGCAGGCGGCUGCUCAAGUCAGGCGUGAAAGGCCUGGGCUCAACCCGGGAAUUGCGCUUGAGACUGGGCUGGCUUGAGUGCGGGAGAGGAUGGUGGAAUUCCCAGUGUAGAGGUGAAAUUCGUAGAUAUUGGGAAGAACACCGGUGGCGAAGGCGGCGACCUGGUCCGAUACUGACGCUGAGGCGCGAAAGCGUGGGGAGCAAACAGG
rnacentral:rRNA from 1 species